GUUCACUCGUGGCCGGUAGCGGCGGCGAUCUUGGCGGCCUCGAGGUCAGCGGCCCUCUUGAGAAAGCUAUCUUCAUCGUCCUCGAGCGCCAUCUGGAUGGGGGCGGAGCCGAGCCCGUCAGCGAUGGCGAGCAUGAUCCGCCGCAUCUCGGAGCGGAACUCGUCCCUGUCGACGGUGCCGCUGUGGUUGAGGUCGAACUGCUCGAAGAUCGAGUCGUAGAGUGCCACGAUCUCGUCCGGGGGCGUGACGGCGUCGAUGCCGAAGUGGGUCUCGGUGAGACGGAAUGUCUCCAGGGCGCGGCGGAGCUCGGAGCGCGAGAGCACGCCGUCGCCGUUGACGUCGAGGGAGGUGAAGCGAUCGUUGACGAGGCGGCAGAAGGCGGCGUCGUCGGAGACGAAGGCGCGGACGGUUGAGCCGUCGAGGAUAACCACUCCCA
rnacentral:misc_RNA from 1 species